rnacentral:rRNA from 1 species
UCGUACGCUCUCGGGAAGAGGGCGUGGCGGACGGCUGAGUAACACGUGGCUAACCUGCCCUUGGGAUCUGGAUAACCCCGGGAAACUGGGGCUAAUCCGGAGCAGGCAAGGGAAUCUGGAAUGAUCUCUUUCCUAAAGGCCUCUCGGCUGAUCCCGUCGAGAGGCGCCCAAGGAUGGGGCUGCGGCCCAUCAGGCUGUUGGGGGAGUAAAGGUCCCCCAAACCGAUAACGGGUAGGUGCCGUGGGAGCGGGAGCCCCCAGUUGGGCACUGAGACAAGGGCCCAGGCCCUACGGGGCGCACCAGGCGCGGAACGUCCCCAAUGCGGGAAACCGUGAGGGCGUUACCCCUAGUGCCCUCGCAAGAGGGCUUUUCUCCACUCCAGAAAGGUGGAGGAAUAAGCGGGGGGCAAGACUGGUGUCAGCCGCCGCGGUAAUACCAGCCCCGCGAGUGAUCGGGACGUUUAUUGGGCUUAAGGCGCCCGUAGCCGGCCUGUAAAGUCACCGCUUAAAGACCCGGGCUCAACUCGGGGAACGGCGGUGAUACUUACAGGCUAGGGGGCGGGAGAGGUCGGAGGUACUCCCGGAGUAGGGGCGAAAUCCUCAGAUCCCGGGAGGACCACCAGUGGCGAAAGCGUCCGGCUAGAACGCGCCCGACGGUGAGGGGCGAAAGCCGGGGUAGCAAAUAGGAUUAGAUACCCUAGUAGUCCCGGCUGUAAACGAUGCACGCUAGGUGUCGCGUAGGCUUUGUGCCUGCGCGGUGCCGCAGGAAAACUGGUAAGCCCGCCGCCUGGGGAGUACGGCCGCAAGGCUGA